rnacentral:rRNA from 1 species
UUGACGGGGAGCACCACAACGGGUGGAGCUUGCGGUUUAAUUGGAUUCAACGCCGGAAAUCUUACCGGGACCGACAGCAAUAUGAAGGCCAGGCUGAAGACUUUGCCGGAUUAGCUGAGAGGUGGUGCAUGGCCGUCGUCAGUUCGUACUGUGAAGCAUCCUGUUAAGUCAGGCAACGAGCGAGACCCACGCCCACAGUUGCCAGCGUACUCUCCGGAGUGACGGGUACACUGUGGGGACCGCCGCUGCUAAAGCGGGGGAAGGAAUGGGCAACGGUAGGUCAGUAUGCCCCGAAUAUCCCGGGCUACACGCGAGCUACAAUGGUUGGUACAAUGGGUAUCUACCCCGAAAGGGGACGGGAAUCUCCUAAACCCAUCCGUAGUUCGGAUUGUGGGCUGCAACUCGCCCACAUGAAGCUGGAAUCUGUAGUAAUCGUGUCUCAAAAUGGCACGGUGAAUAUGUCCCUGCUCCUU